rnacentral:rRNA from 1 species
UACAGGGGGUGCAAACGUUGCUCGGAAUCAUUGGGCGUAAAGCGCACGUAGGCGGUUCGUUAUGUCGGAUGUGAAAGCCCUUGGCUUAACCGAGGAAGUGCAUCCGAAACUGGCGAGCUAGAGUACGAAAGAGGAUCGCGGAAUUCCCGGUGUAGAGGUGAAAUUCGUAGAUAUCGGGAGGAACACCAGUGGCGAAGGCGGCGACCUGGGCCAAUAUUGACGCUGAGGUGCGAAAGCGUGGGGAGCAAACAGGG